AUACGACUGUCGGCAACGGAUAUCUAGGCUCUCGCAUCGAUGAAGAACGUAGCAAAAUGCGAUACUUGGUGUGAAUUGCAGAAUCCCGUGAAUCAUCGAGUUUUUGAACGCAAGUUGCGCCCGAAGCUAUCCGGCUGAGGGCACGUCUGCCUGGGCGUCACGCAUCUCGUCACCGCCCCAACCCGAGUCUACUUCAAGUAGACU
rnacentral:rRNA from 1 species